CCGCGUGGGGCGGGGCAGUAGCGGAGCCUUGUAACCUACAAUCCGCUAAAGUAGGGCCGAUAAACCGCAUUGAGGGUAUGUCCUGUGGGGUCAGCACCGAAUAAGCAGCGUUGAAGGCCGGGUCCUGCGCGGCGGGCUGCCGUGAACCUCGUCAGGUCCGGAAGGAAGCAGCGAUAAGCGGAUAAGCCCGGGUGCCGUGGGUUCGCCUGGCUGGAGCCGGCUGUUCGGCAAGCGCUCGGAGGAUAGCAUUCGAAUACGGCUGCGCGG
rnacentral:SRP_RNA from 1 species